rnacentral:rRNA from 1 species
UACGAGGGGGGCAAGCGUUAAUCGGAAUUACUGGGCGUAAAGCGCGCGUAGACGGUUUUGUAAGUCAGAUGUGAAAUCCCUGGGCUCAACCUGGGAACUGCAUUUGAUACUGCAUGGCUAGAGUAUGGAAGAGGGAAGUGGAAUUUCCGGUGUAGCGGUGAAAUGCGUAGAUAUCGGAAGGAACACCAGUGGCGAAAGCGACUUCCUGGUCCAAUACUGACGUUCAUGUGCGAAAGCGUGGGGAGCAAACAGG